AUGCGCACUGUGUGCGAGGGCGCGCGUGGACGUGCUUCUCUCCGCUGUUGCCGCGCACGCGAGUGGUGCCGUGGCGGUUCCUGGGCGCGUGUCUCGUUUCUCUUCCCUUCCCGCCCUUUUCAGGGGCGCGAGGCGCUGCUGAGGAGAGCAGCAGGCGGUCGCGCUGCGCUGACUCCCGAGCCCUGCUUCGAGUGUACUUCUGCGGGGUUUCUUUCAGUAAAAUUAACAGAGAACAGACUUUUCCCUCCUGCCCCUUCGUUUUCAGCUGUCUACUUGCUGUUCCCUCGCAGCGCUCGCAGGUCAUGAAUCCAUGAGGCACCACAACAAGAGAAGAUAACCAUGAAACCCUUAGAGAUGGAAAUGUCAUUGUUUCUAGGCCUUGUUUCUGUUGCUGUUACAAGUCAGACUGCUGCCAAGUGGUAUAUAAGCAAUCCAGGUGCUAAGAGAGAAGCAGCUUACAUCACCAGAGCAACCUCAGUGUCCAAAGUGGAAGAACCCAAGGGAGAAUUUGUAUCACAAGGUGACCUUGAGGAACAACAAGCAUUGUGGAAAAAAAGGUACUUGUGUUGUGGGCUGCCUUAAAAAAUAUUUUGUUAAACCUGGUUUCUUCCAUCUGAGGAAUUCAUUGGAAGAGAGUUGGAUAAUUUAGGAAUGGCUCUGGUAAGAAUCCCAACCGGAGAAUGUCUUUUGAACCUCUUCACUUUGCUUACACACCACUAACAUGCACCCCUCUAGGGUAGGUCACUCACAGACUAGUUAUGACGUUGCACAUCUUGGCUCAGAUUGAUUUGUGAAUGUGUCUGGGAAGAUUCAGAACUAGGCAGUGCUCAGGCACUUUGAGUGUAUAUUACAGAUUUGUUUAAAGGAGAGUAAUGCUACUUCAUAAUCAGGCUAAAUCAAACCAAAAUAGUCAACAGUCAUCACAUGAUUGUGUUCCUCAUCACACUUAUUUUAUCUGUACUACUUCAGUGACUGCAGUCCCCAGCAGAUGAUCAGAGAUUGGGAGUGUUGGGUGCUUUUCAAAGAAAGUGAAGCCAUUUCUUGCUCCAGCAAACAUAAAGCAAUAGCAAAGAGGUAGAUACAGAAAUUGAAGACAAGGGGCAGAUACAGUGGUGGAAGCGGUAGAUCAGGAUGCCAAUUGUGUGUGCUAUUGUAUUGUGCAGCUGCAACACAGAGAAGUGCUGCAGUCCUAUGAGCAGCUGGUGCUGGGCAGGACAGAAUUGUAGCAUGCAGUUCUGCUCAGACCUGCCAGGUGAUGCCACUGACUCUAGGACUUGUAUUACUUUGCCUCUGAAUCUGGAACUUAGCAAGUGCUUUGAUUUUCCUACCAGCUGCAAAUAUUCUCAGUCUGAGUGACAGAAUUAGAGCCAAUGCCUUCAUUUAAAAUGUUGCUAAUUCUGGAAAGGUCAUGAGUGCAGUGCAUUGGUAGAAUACUACUUUAUGAAUAUGUCCACAAUCACAUUUAAGAGCCUGUCCAUCUGUAAAUUAUCCAUCCCUGUAGGUCUCCUCUUAGAGAACUGUGUGCAGCAGGUGAUGCUGUGUGCAUCCCAGUGCACGAGGCAAUUCGAGGCCUGCAGCCAGACUCAGGCAGAGCAAACUGCUGCAGUCCCAGACAGCUGGAAUGGGAGACCUUGUGGCUGGCCUGGUCUUAGCAUGCAGUGCUGGCUUUACACAGAAUGUUUGUGUCCCUACCUGGGCCUUGAGGAGCUGAACACAGACAUCAGAGUGGUAAAAGCCAGCCCACCGCCUCCUGCACAGCCAGAGUAAAUCUGGGUUCUAUGACUUCUUAAGUGCAAAGGCUGUUUAUAGAUUAAAGUCAAUGUUACUGUACACUUAGACUUGCACAGGGCUCUGAAGCCAAACCUGCUGAUUGACAAAGCAGAAAUUCUAAAAUAAAUAGUAACCCUGAGAACUUCAACAGAAACAUGCCAUGCUCUGAUUUCACAAUCUGUCUUUCCUCUCUUUUCAGAAAAAAAAAAAAAAAAAAAAAAAGGAAACUUUUGUAUGCUGUACAUCUGGUAGCUGUCUCUUUCUGCAUGCACACACACUUCUCUGCAGAUAAAUUCUUCCGUGGGUUCAGAAACAGAACCAUAAUUUGCCUCACUGCCUAUGUAUGUAUUUUAUUCUUGUUGCUCAUUCCUGUUGACUACUGUCCGGCAGUUCCAUGGAUGCUCUGGCUUCUCAUUUGCCAGGUAUUAAAGCUGUUGUUGGAGACAGGACAGAGCUUGGAAGUACCUGUGUAACUUCGCCCCAGCCUGUGUAGCUCAGGGUGCUGGAGAACAGAAACGUUAGGGGUUAGUUUGGCUACACAGUGGGAAACUUUCAGACCCACAUAGCCUCCCAGCAAGUGUUCCUAUUGGGUUUCUGCCCUUGAGGCCAAGGGAUGUCUCAAGGAGUGCAGAAAGCUGAUGGGCUAGGUUGGAAGCAAAUUUUGUCAUUAGCCAUCUUAUUGCAGAGCACGAUGCAAUUAACGUUAAAAACUAUCCUUUCUUUCUAAAUGCAUUUCCUAAAUUGAAGCUAUGCAAGGGUCUCUGCAUUUUUCCCUUUUCUGUUCUAUACUUACUGUCACUCCAAUCUGCUGUGUUCGUGCUCAGACACAGAGAAAUGUACACAUGCUUGGACUGUAUAUUGGCAAACCGGACUGCAGCUUCCCUUUUCUGUCUGUCCUUGAAAUCUCAUUUUUUGCAUGUGAACUGCCACUCCACAUCAGUCAGUGCAGCAGUGCCUUGCCCCCGGCAGCGCUCAGUGCUCUGCCUCAGGGAGCAAAAACCUCUGUGCCCUGAGCCAGCCGUACUGUUUCGGAUAAGGUAGAAGAAUUCUCCCUGAGUCCACAGAUCAAUAUUUUCUGACAGAAUUCAUUAGCUUAAUCACACAAUUAUGUAGCUACCAAAGUUAGUAGUGGAUAUACAAUUAAAUAAUUUCAUUAGAAACUAGCCAUUAUUUGACUCAGUGCUUCUGCUGGGUUGGUAUUAUGCUGCCCCAAAGGUAUCUCCUUAGGCUGAUUUUGCUUAACUUCUGAAAACUGGAGCCACAGGAAGUGACAAAAGGGACUUUCAGUUUGGGUAAACCUGCUCAACACUGUGGCUGUGCCAUCCAGCUCCGUGUGGCUGUCAGUGUUCUCCCCCCAGCACAGUGUGAGGAUGAGGUAUGCGAACACCAUGAUGCUCAGUGAAACGUGGUGAGGAUGAGGUGUGCCAACACUGUGACAGUCAGCGAAACAGUGAGGAUGAGGUAUGACAGUCAAUGAAACACAUUUGCCCACUGAUCCAGGCUGAUCACACUUUACAUGAAGACCAACCUGAAAACUUUUCUGUCCUUCUCAGAACAUGUACUGUUUCUGGCAGGGCAAAGGGAAAGAUGAAAAUCUAACCUGAACGCUGCCAUUUCCUGUCCUUAAACUGAUUUUGUAACCAAGAGGACUAUCUUUCAUAAUAGGCACACUUGUAUGCAGUACUGGUUGGGGAAACACACUGCAGAUGUAGUGAGCUGGCUUCAGCCUUAUUUCAUUGGCAAUGCUGAGACUGCAGGGCACAGAACUUGACUCCUCUCUUUCAGAAAGACACCUGCAAAUUAGGGAGGUUUAUGGGAGAAGCACAAACACUAUGAAAGCCCUGGAGGAACUGAUAGUGAAAGAUGAGAAGAUUGCAAAUGGGUAGCAGCAAAUGAACUAAAAAUGACAUUCACAGUAACCAGAAAAUCCUGCAACACUUUGGGAUGUAUUUCUAUAGUGAGCCUGGAGCUAGUGCUGUGUUUGUCAGAUUUAAAACCAAAUCUAGGAUAGACUUAGUGCUAAUGUGGACUCAUGGACCCAGUGCCACUAACUGGAAGCCUGCUAUGUCUAUGAAUGUGUUUGUACCAUGUAGCCUUGGUGCCAGUGAUGCAUGUGAAGGGGCUGUGUGAGGUCCCAGUGCUGUCAGCAAAUCCCAUGGCUCAGACACAAACCUGAACAAGUGCUUUUUAGUGUGGUGCGGGUAGUGAGAUCUCUUCAGUACCCAUUUUAACUGUGUUAUGUCAGAUUUUCUGCUAUCAAUGAAGUUUGAAAACUCUAGGAACGAAACCGUGUGAAGAAAAACUUAGCCUGAGUAUUAAGUAAUCUUUCACAAUAUUUUUUUAAAGUUUUCUAGAGAGGUGUCAAAGUUGUUUGAAAGAUACCACAGAGGGUAAUGCUGUAAUAAUGAGAAGGUCAAAGGGAACUGAUGAAACCUUUUUCACCUUUCUGUAAGAACCAGGCUUCUUGGUCAGAGUUAGAAAUAUUCCGCAGUUGCCAAGAAGCUGGCAAAUCAUCAGUGGGGCUGUUUGUGUCUAUGUUAGAGGGCAGCAGUUUCUAACAGCUCAAAUCUCAAGGUCAGUGACUUGAAGGGGAGCAUGGAGGGAGAUGGCUGUGAGAAAAUCACGUGUCCCUGAGGGCAUACAGCACGAGGACAGCACUUAUCCCCAGCUGCUCUUAUUGCUUUGCAAGUGCCCAAGUAUCUUGCCCUCAGUAGGAGAAGCUAAUAGACUCUUGCAUCUAUGUGGAAAUCCUGGGCUUGUUUGGAAGCCGUGCUUAGGGAAAGCUGAGAGGUUGGGCUGGGCACUACCAAGCAGAGCAAUUUGUCUCCUGGCUCCAUCUCAUAAUGAGAUGUGGGAGCUUCAUGGCCCUGUAACAGCUUUCAUAGGUGUCUGAUGAGGCACAGGGUGCCAGAGAUUAAUUUGCUUUAUUUUUUCUGCAUGGAAAGAAAUGAAAGAGUUAUUUCUUCCUCUAAUAGCUAUGUCUGUUUGCUGUUUGCUUUAAGACAUCCUCGAUGUGCUGUGCAGUAGAAAUUUACUCCUGGGACCCCUCUGGCUGUAUCACUGUAAUCAGUAGCUGCUGGCAAGGAAAGCUAAAGGGAUGAAGAUCAAGAAUUCAUUGUUUUGAAGCAUUUCUAACCACAAAGCACAGCUAGAAUAAAGUUCUAACAGGCCAAAAUCACCCACUCUGAGUGUAUGUCCCCUCAUAAGGCUGGUCACCUCUCUGAAAUUCAAAGCACCCCGAAUGGAAACUUCUGACUUUAGCUCCAGCACUCAGAAGGCAGUGAGAUGCAAAGCACUGCAGUCAGAACCAAGGUGAAGUCCUUGCCACUACAAGUAUAUAGUGUGAUACUACAAAAACUGGGGUUUACAUAACUCUCCCAGGAGGUACUGACUCAAAGCUCCUUGCAUUUGGGGAGCCCACAUUAGGUUGUUGUGCAAGGUGCUACAUGACACAACAUCAAGUACAUCUGCUGUCUCGGGGUGCUCAUUACAGAUGAAAAAUCUGCUGAAACUAAGUUCUGCUGUGGAGUAGAAGUAUUUCCAUGCCUCAUUUUUCUGUUACAUCAGAAAACAUCAUCUGUGCUGCACUGCUGUUGAAUACCUUGCAUCUGGACAUGAAUGUCUGAUGAACCUGUGCAGCAACAUUUUGUUCCAAUCUUGGUGACCUGCCUUAGGUCCACCUGGGCUCUGACAAAGGCAAAGCCUUCAGCAAUGGGCCCUGGGUGCAGCAUCAGUACACUGAGCAUCAGCACACUGAGCAUCAGCUGAGCCUCAUGGAGCCUGGCCAGUGCAUUAUGGAGCGACUGGGGCUGGGGGAGAAAGAAGGGUGAGGGUGGAGGGAGGACACCUAAGCAGAUAUCAAGCCUGUUGUAAUUUUAAACAGUAACCUGAUUAUAGAGACUCUGGGAGAAUUGGAAAGCAGUGCUAGGCAGUACCUGUUAACACUGUCAGAUGAAGCCUGAUACCAGAGACAUCAUGAUGCCAGCUACAGUGCCAUUGCCCUGGUCAAUCCUUCUGUCCCUUGCUGCAGCUUUGUGCGGCAGCAGUAGAAGAUACUUAAGGCUCAGACAUGGUCAUUGCAGCCCAACAGUAGUCCCAGGCCCAGAGCAUCAGAUUAACCUUGAAGAUUCAUCCUACGGUGUGUAGUGUUGCCAAAUUUUAAACUUGUCAGAGAAAUGAUAAGAUAAAUAGAAAUAUAGAAGAUAGAUAAAUAAACAGCAAGGUUUUGGCAAAAUAAUAAGUGCAGCCACCCUGGCUUAGAAAACAUUCUAAGGCUUUGGACAGUUUUGUUUUAUAAAAGAAAGACUGUUUGAAAAGAAUCCAGGGUAAAUGUUUUUGAGAGGGAGACAUACACAAUUAACAAGGGUGACUUUAUCUCCCUUGUUAAACCAGAAUCCCUUUCUGACUUUUCUUAGACAUUUGGAGACUGUUCCACAUGUUUUUGAGGCUUUUUUUUUUCCAAGUUAGCAGUGCAGGGGGGCAAGGAGUGUCAUGUCUCAAAUGAGAGGACAUUGAGAUGCUCUGCAAGUAUGUAAAAAAAGUGUUCUUUGUGCCAAUGGCAGUCUGCAAGGUUAGAAAAAAGCUGGCAAAAUACCUGGACCUCAAACACUCAGUGAAAGGUCUGGCCAAGGAAAAACAUCUUUCCAUUUGCCUGACAGCAACUCAGAGGGAUUUCCUGGAAAUCUUGAAAGAACUGACUGUUAGGGGAUUUCUGUGUUUCUGCAUCUGGCUGGAUGCUGAGUUCUCAGCAGAAAGCUUUGAAGGGGGAGAGAGAACCUUGCUCUUCCCCAGUUCUCUCAUAUCCAAGGGUGGAAAUGCAGUAGGGGAAGUGCAGUCAGAGGUGGCUGAAAUCUCCUGGUCAGAUUUUACCAGGGAGGCUGUGUGUAUUGUGUGCGUAUGUGCUAGAAUUGUGUCAGCAUGACAUCAUGCAGCAGAGAGGUGAAUCAGAGCAGGUGAAGUAGUGUGGCAAUACAGUUCCUGACAUUUGAACAGCUUUUUUUUUAGAGCUGGUGCCAUUUGGUUUCCAUAGCAAUGCACUUUGCUGUGCAGAAAUCCCCUCAGCACGUGCGUAGGACAGAUACACGAACCCUAAUCCCAACCUCUGCUAGUCCUGUGCCAGGGAGUGCUGAGCAGGGAGUGCUGCAGACAGUGCUGCUGAGCAGCAGGCUCCUAAGGGCACACUCAUGUCCUGCAGCAUCUGAAUGCUCCCUGCUAAUGCUGCAAGGCUCUCUACACUUAGCUAGACAACCUUUUCCCACUUCUACUUUCUGCUUGUCUCUUGCCAUCAAGCAUUCAUAUAGGAAUAUGUAGUUUUAAGGUCUGAAAACACAAGGCAAGCUUCUUCAGAGCUAUACCUUCUCUGAAAUACUUUUAUAUUCUCAAUGUGCACUUUCAUGUCAGCUCCCCCAUAGUAUACAGGAAUUGUGAUAGCCUUUUUUACAUCUAUUGUCUCUCUUUAAUGUGACAAACUGUGACUCAACACAAAACAAAAAAUUGCUCUGGUGGGAAAAAUCAUUGAGUUUAAUGCAGAGGAAACCAACAAAAAUCUCAUCAACGGAUUUCAGAGAAAACUCUAGGCAGUUCAAUUAAAAUGCAAUUAGCUUAAUUAACUGAGUAGUAUGGAAUCCUUUGCUCUAGAAUUGUUUUUUAACAAUAUUUUGAGUUACUUGUCUCUGAAAUUCUACAUGUUGGCAUCUGAAUCAGUACAUGGGCUAUCAUUGCUAUUAUUCAUUUCGACAAAGGUAGAAAUGGAGACCGGUUUCACUGCUAGGUUUGCUUCCUAUCUCUGCCUGACUGUUACAGAAAUAGAAAGAACUGCUAGCUAAGAAAUCAUCUGCUUUUGUUCUUCUCUCACGGACUGUACGACGAAUGGAUAACAUACAGCAAAUACUGGCACAGCUUCUACUUGUAAACUAAAAAACAAAAACGCAAUUCAUAGGAUUAUGUAGGUGGUAAGAUUAAGGUCUUCUCUGGAGGACUGUCAUGACAGCUGUGAAACAGCAAAUAAAGAAUUCACAGCACUGGUAAGUGCACCUUAUAGAAAUCUGUAGUGCUUAAACUGUCCUUUACUAAACAUUCCUUCUUCAUUUUUCCCACAUCCCACCAAUUGCAAAGAUGCCAGUCCUGUGCAUCUAAAAUUAGAUACAGCUUUGUUACUGGUAUAAUAAUAAAUGUUAUUCUCUGGAUUAAUCAUUCAGAUUUUCCAAACUUUGUCUCACCAGUAAAGGAAAACACUACGAAGGUAGUCAAGAAAAAGCCAAAGUAGAGGUGUAUGUCUUAAACUGUUUUGCUCUUAUCAUUUGUCACGAGCAGAAUAUUCUGUCCUAGCAGAUCAGAGCAUGAGCAGGAGAAACCAGCUUCACUAGAGAGUGCUCUUUCGUUUUCUGAUGAAUGUGACUCAGAAUUGCAAAGCAACUUGGCUUACUUUGGCAAAAGGAGUUCAGUUGGUUGAUGAGACAUUAUGUGUUAAAAGCCGAUGAAAUGGCUUUUCGUUUUUAUCACAAGAAUCAACAUUUUUCACAUUAACUAACCUUCCUGUAGUAUAAAUACAACAAUGCUGCAUCCCUUUCAAAGACCUAGGAGUGUCAUUAAUGUUCAACUUCUUUCUGGAGACAGUUUACAUCGUAGUUUUCUUGAUCUUAAAAUACGUUAACCAUGACCUUUCUGUUACAGUAUUGAAAUCCAGACUGCUUCUCCUUCUAGUCUGUUUAGAAAGUGUAAAAGAUUUCCUUUUGGAAUCAGAAACGAAAUUGUAAAUUUUGGAAGCAUUUUUCUGAACAGAACGCUGACUUCAAAAGAAAUGCAUCAAAAGUACUCACGCGAGUGCCAUGAUCCCGUAAGGCCAGGAGCGGAUUUCCAGCCUCUUUGGACUUUUUAUCUCAUCUGAUGUCAACACCAUCCCGCUGUCUGACUCCUGGAUAGCAAAAGGAGGAGAACAUCAGCAGAGCUUCAACAUGGAGGACUCUGAAAUUAGAAGCUGUAUACCCAGAGGAGAGUGUGGAGAAGUCAAAGUAAACCAGAACUGAAGUCAGUGGAGAAGGAAAGCCAAGCAGCUAGUAAAAAUAGCAAAUUCUAGCUCUUUUGUUUUGUGAUGAUACAGCUUUUGGUCCAGAACUUCACCUCAUAAAAUUGUCUCCAGCUACAGAGCAGACAAAACAAGGGCAGGAGAAUCCAAUUUCUCCUUCAUUGUGGCCUGCAGAGGUUGGAGAUCCCUGUCCACACAGUAAUCAGGGAGGUACUAACAGGAAGGUGAACACCUGUAGAUGUGAUACUGCAGUGUUAUAUGUUGAUAUUUGUGUGCUGGAACUAAUGUAGGAGCUACCAGCUACUCUGCAUAUUUCUAAGAUCAUGGGCAUUGUCAGGGAGAGCUGGACACCAGCCAUCAACCUGCAAGGCACAUGUUUGCAUCAAAACUUUCAAUUGCGUGCUAUCUAGUGACAUACUUAACACAGAGAUAUGUCCAGUUGGUAUAGGAAAUUAAGCCCAUUCUUCUGAAUUUUCUCUUAUCAGGGCCAGUAUUAUCAGUUUUCAGCCAGCUGGUCCUGAUUAUGCAGCUAUUUAGCCUGGAUUUCUCUCUGUCUUUUAUCUUUAUUAUUUCCCCUUAAAAUAACAUGCUCUAGAAAUAAUUUAUCUCUGUGUUCCUUUUCAAUUUUCUUACAGACAAAUUGUAAAAAAAAUCUUAACAGAUAUUACCUAAAAUCAACAGAAUGGCAGGAAGGUGUGGUAGACUUUUAGAGUUCCUGGGCAACUUUUUGAAAUAAUGACCUAAUCAGCAUGAAUGCCUUGGUAUUUAAGAUAAUUACAGUAAUCCAAGUGCAUUUACUUAGUCCAAAAGUAGAUCAUACCAUCAUUUUCUUCAAAAUAUUCUCAUUGAUAUCUCACAUUCACUUCCAAUCUGUUAAUGUAUUACCCUUUUUUAAAAAAAAAACUUUUCUCCCUCUGUAAGGACUUGCUUUAAAAUGCCACAAAGAAGGGGCAUUUAGGAAAGUAAUACUUGUGCUGGCAGCAAAAAUCUCUUACUGAUACCAGAUCUAUCUACUAAAUGUCUCCACAUGAUUCUGAGGAACAAAUCUUUAUCUGGCAAAAGGAGACACAGGAACCAGAGGAAAUUCUAAGCCACUAAUCCCUGAAAAUGCACUGAUAAAGGCACAGAAAUUACAUUUGUCAGAAUGCUAGGGAAUAAUGAGCAUCAAUUCUGUGCUCCCAAGGGAGCAUUAGCUGGGUGUGCUGGGCUGUCCCCCAGCAGCAAAGUAGACAGACUGGUGUGCUAAUAGAUGUCUGCACACAUUCUUCUUUUCUUUUCCUGCUCCUGGAAGGUGCAUGCCUUCUUCCAUUUCUAUCCAAUUUCUUCUAUUUUCUACCUGCUUCAAACAUGCAUUACAAAGGUCUCUCUUUAGUGGCACAGGAUCUGUCACUGAGGCAAGUGGAGUGUGCUGCAGCCUAUUAUUACCUGAGUAAAUUUAUGAGUUUUGUUUUGUUUUCUUUGUUUAAAUAAGGAAGUAAAAAAUAGAAAAAACCUCCACCCCGGAACCUUAAUUUCAGAGGAAGCCAAUAAGCCAAGCAACAAAUUCUGCAACAAAACAAGCCUUUGUUUUCCACUGGAGUGAAAACGAAACCUUUUAACACCCUCCCACGUGCAGAGCCAUUAAGCUACCAAUAAAAAUGCCCACCUAGAGUGGGGAAAUUGCAAGCUAAAGCCCUUUGAAUCAAGGAAAGCCAGUAUUUGAAUGUUGGUCUAGUUCCUCCUGAACUGACCCCCUCACCAUCCAGCUGUUGCCUGGUUCAGCCAGCCGGAAUCUCCUUGGGACAUUUUCUUCAAAGGCUCAAUUUCAGUACGCUGCCAUUUUCUUAUGGGGAAAAAGCCAAACCGAUAGUGAGAUAUGUUCCUGUCUGGCUGUAACAUAAAGCUCCACAGCCCGACCAAAGCCAGUCUACUCACACAUGAGCUUCUCUUUAAAUUAUUUGUCAAACUAAAUGCAGGUUCCUCUCUGUAGUCGCACAGGCCUGUGUAUGAGAUGCUUGGGCCAAAUAUUCUCCUUGAUUUAAAGCUGUUUUUCUGACCAAAGAGAUUUCAAACACUCUGGUAACUGUUUGGUGUUGAUGCCAGGAGGUCAGUGUUCCUAGUGGAGAAGGACAUAGCCACCCAGCUUACCUCAUGCAUCACCUUCUCCUUUCCCACUGAAACUUCAUCAAAUGUCUUCACACUCAGAGGGCGCCUCUUGCUGCCACUGCUGAAAGAUAGAAAGGUGAGGGGUGGAAUGAGGCCCAGGCAGAUGCUGGUAGCUCAGCUAGUAGCCCUGACACAGCUCCAUUCCCAUCCCAGUCUUUCUUUGUCAUCUCUUGUAACUAACAAACAACACUCUGACAAACUUUUAGUCAAGUGAGUCAAGCUUUUGUCCAACUCACUUAGAACAGCCACACUGUGAGAACAAUCCAGCUACAUCAAAUCUCCCUCUCUCUCACACCCGUGCUCAGACAUGUAUUUUUCUUACCCAGUUUCCACUGCACUCCAGCGAUUAACACAGUUGUUCAAAUUUUCCUCCACGGGGCAAGUUUUGGAGUUAGGCUCUCCAUCAGGACACAAGGUAAUGUUCAGUGGGAUAUAGUCUUUACCAUCCUAUAAAAUAAUUAGCAUAAGAGAACACAAAGGUGGUAAAUACCAUUUUAUACUGCAUCUCAGAUGUUAAAAGUCACCAUAUUAUACAGAGCUUUACACUGGGAAAGGACUGUUUUUUAUUUUAAUGGUAUAUCUCUGUAAAGCAAUCAUUAAUGUUCUUCAUAACACAUAGAAGUUAGAAUGUGUAGCUUUAUACAACAUUUACUGUGUGGAAGGCUUUGUAUGAGGAAAAUUGUUCA